rnacentral:tRNA from 1 species
GGCCGGUUAGCUCAGUCGGUUGAGCGUGGCGCUAACAACACCAAGGUCAGGGUUCAAUUCCCGUUCGGUCC